GGGUUGUGAGGUUAAGCGACUAAGCGUACACGGUGGAUGCCCUGGCAGUCAGAGGCGAUGAAGGGCGUGCUAAUCUGCGAUAAGCGCCGGUAAGGUGAUAUGAACCGUUAUAACCGGCGAUACCCGAAUGGGGAAACCCAGUGUGACUCGUCACACUAUCAUUAACUGAAUCCAUAGGUUAAUGAGGCGAACCGGGGGAACUGAAACAUCUAAGUACCCCGAGGAAAAGAAAUCAACCGAGAUUCCCCCAGUAGCGGCGAGCGAACGGGGAGGAGCCCAGAGCCUGAAUCAGCAUGUGUGUUAGUGGAAGCGUCUGGAAAGGCGCGCGAUACAGGGUGACAGCCCCGUACACAAAAGCGCAUGUGCUGUGAGCUCGAUGAGUAGGGCGGGACACGUGGUAUCCUGUCUGAAUAUGGGGGGACCAUCCUCCAAGGCUAAAUACUCCUGACUGACCGAUAGUGAACCAGUACCGUGAGGGAAAGGCGAAAAGAACCCCGGCGAGGGGAGUGAAAAAGAACCUGAAACCGUGUACGUACAAGCAGUGGGAGCCCCACCACCAAAGCAUUCUCUGGUGUUGAAGGCCCUG
rnacentral:rRNA from 1 species